CUCCUCCUUCUACAACCUGUUCUCAACCCAUUUCAGUUUCAGAUACUAACCCACCUAUGUCUCACCUUAAAUAGGACCGAGUUUCCUGAGGGAGACUUCAGAUGUUCUGCUCACACAAGUGAACUCUCCUUAAGAACCUCUACACCAAUCCUCUGUCUGCUCUCCUGGCUCAAGUGCUCCUUGAUAACUCAUCACUCUCUCACCACCUGCCAGUCCACCCUCCAACAUUUUGCCGAUCCACAACGUCCACAAGGAAAAGAAGGACCGAAGGAGACAAUAAUUAACUCCACCAAUCUCCUGACCAACCUCAGCCUCAGUGGAUAUCCUCACUUCCUCUGCACCAGUACGACACUGUCUCCCCUCCUUCUACAACCUGUUCUCAACCCAUUUCAGUUUCAGAUACUAACCCACCUAUGUCUCACCUUAAAUAGGACCGAGUUUCCUGAGGGAGACUUCAGAUGUUCUGCUCACACAAGUGAAAUCUCCUUAAGAACCUCUACACCGAUCCUCUCUCUGCUCUCCUGGCUCAAGUGCUCCUCGAUAACUCAUCGCUCUCUCACCACCUGCCAGUCCACCCUCCAACAUUUUGCCGAUCCACAACGUCCACUAGGAAAAGAAGGACCGAAGGAGACAAUAGUUAACUCCACCAAUCUCCUGACCAAACUCAGCCUCAGUGGAUAUGCUCACUUCC